rnacentral:rRNA from 1 species
UACGUAGGGUGCAAGCGUUAAUCGAAAUUACUGGGCGUAAAGCGUGCGCAGGCGGCUUUGCAAGUCUGUCGUGAAAUCCCCGGGCUCAACCUGGGAAUUGCGAUGGAGACUGCAAGGCUAGAAUCUGGCAGAGGGGGGUAGAAUUCCACGUGUAGCAGUGAAAUGCGUAGAGAUGUGGAGGAACACCGAUGGCGAAGGCAGCCCCCUGGGUCAAGAUUGACGCUCAUGCACGAAAGCGUGGGGAGCAAACAGG